UACGGGGGGGGCAAGCGUUGCUCGGAAUUACUGGGCGUAAAGGGCUCGUAGGCGGCCAACUAAGUCGGAUGUGAAAUCCCCAAGCUUAACUUGGGAACUGCAUCCGAUACUGGAUGGCUUGAAUCCGGGAGAGGGAUGCAGAAUUCCAGGUGUAGCGGUGAAAUGCGUAGAUAUCUGGAGGAAUACCGGUGGCGAAGGCGGCAUCCUGGACCGGCAUUGACGCUGAGGGGCGAAAGCUAGGGGAGCAAACGGG
rnacentral:rRNA from 1 species